AGAGCAGCACAGUUACGGAGUGAGAGCGGAAGCUGGGCGGCUGCCCGCACAGCAGGACAGCCCUCGGGUGCAGUGCCCUGGGCUGGACAGGCCCCAGUGGCUAGCAGGGAAACACGUUCGCCUCCCUCCUCCCCAGUGCUCCUCUCCUGCACCUGUUCCUGGCUUCCCCCUCAGAACAAGCGAGGUUUGGCAUCUCCUGUGACACCCGGCCCUCACAGACUCAUCUCACCUAGCACGCAACUCUCCUGGAUGUUUGCAUUUUCAAGAUAUAUUACUGAGUAGUGAAGACCCACUUCAGUUCUUGUCAAUGGAAUUGCAAGAAAAUUCAGGAUUGUUCAAAUAGAAACACCAAAGUUGCUGCUUAAGGCCCAUGACUCUAUGGCCUGGAUACCAAAAAUUUGAGGCUCCAGUUUGCCGCCUCUGCAUUAGACUGUUUGUUUUCCCUGCCCCAGCCCCACAUGGCCUCGGCACCAAUUCCUCCGCCACCCCUCCAAGGACUGCAAGUGGGACCGGCUCCUGCUGCUGAUGCUGACUCACCUUGGAUCCACACCUUCCCAGCUGUUUAUCUCAGGGAAACUGAGGCCGACCCUGCCAAGGGACUCAGCCACAUUACUCGGGAAGUCCGGAGCAGCGCUGACAAUGGACACCGGAAGUGAAAAGUCCUCAUCCCCAGCAUGCUGCCCUCCGCCCAGACCAUGCCUGCCUCAGUGGGGAGGAAGUCAGGGAUGUUAAAGGGCAACUCUUCAGCUGGAAGUCCCAGCCAAAAGCAAUGAGGACACAGAGCAUGAUAAGGAAGGUGCAGGUUAGAUCCUCUCUCAGGAGCCUGGCCAAACCUGGUGAAGGGAAGCUAAAGAGGUGACUACAAAUGGAAAUGAACGUCCUGCUGAAAAGAAUUCAGAGUGAGUUUAUCAGGGACACCAUGGCCAGCGGGAGAGAUGGAUCACCAGUGUUGUUCCUGGGAGACCAGAAGUGUCCUAGAUAGGAGCUGUCCUACCUCCCUAGAUCCCAGAGUGAAGAAAUGUGCAGCCAAUCCACAAUGGACACAUAGCAUGAAUAGAGCCGACGCUGGGAGCUGCCAUCCUGAGGGGCCUCUAAGAGGCCCUCCUGCCCAGAGUAUCAGGCAGACAUGGGAACUCCUGCUGCUCACUUACUUUAU